rnacentral:rRNA from 1 species
GUGUCAGCAGCCGCGGUAAUACGUAGGGUGCAAGCGUUAAUCGGAAUUACUGGGCGUAAAGCGUGCGCAGGCGGUUUUGUAAGUCAGAUGUGAAAUCCCCGAGCUCAACUUGGGAACUGCGUUUGAAACUACAAGGCUAGAGUAUGGUAGAGGGGGGGUAGAAUUCCACGUGUAGCAGUGAAAUGCGUAGAGAUGUGGAGGAAUACCAAUGGCGAAGGCAGCCCCCUGGACUAAUACUGACGCUCAUGCACGAAAGCGUGGGGAGCAAACAGGAUUAGAAACCCCCGUAGUCC